rnacentral:rRNA from 1 species
GACGAACGCUGGCGGCGUGCUUAACACAUGCAAGUCGAACGGAAAGGCCCUGCUUUUGUGGGGUGCUCGAGUGGCGAACGGGUGAGUAACACGUGAGUAACCUGCCCUUGACUUUGGGAUAACUUAAGGAAACUGGGGCUAAUACCGGAUAGGAGCUCCUGCUGCAUGGUGGGGGUUGGAAAGUUUCGGCGGUUGGGGAUGGACUCGCGGCUUAUCAGCUUGUUGGUGGGGUAGUGGCUUACCAAGGCUUGGACGGGUAGCCGGCCUGAGAGGGUGACCGGCCACAUUACGACUGCGAUACGGCCCAGACUCGUAUGGUAGGCAGCGGUGGGGAAUAUUGUACAGUGGGCGGGAGCCUGAUGCGGCCACGCCGCGUGCGGGAUGACGUCCUUCGGGUUGUGAACCGCAGCCGCCUGUGACGAAGCGUUAGUGACGGUAAUGGGUAAAUAAGCACCGGCUAACUACGUG